rnacentral:rRNA from 1 species
AUUGAACGCUGGCGGCAGGCCUAACACAUGCAAGUCGAGCGGAUGAAGGGAGCUUGCUCCUGGAUUCAGCGGCGGACGGGUGAGUAAUGCCUAGGAAUCUGCCUGGUAGUGGGGGAUAACGUCCGGAAACGGGCGCUAAUACCGCAUACGUCCUGAGGGAGAAAGUGGGGGAUCUUCGGACCUCACGCUAUCAGAUGAGCCUAGGUCGGAUUAGCUAGUUGGUGGGGUAAAGGCCUACCAAGGCGACGAUCCGUAACUGGUCUGAGAGGAUGAUCAGUCACACUGGAACUGAGACACGGUCCAGACUCCUACGGGAGGCAGCAGUGGGGAAUAUUGGACAAAGGGCGAAAGCCUGAUCCAGCCAUGCCGCGUGUGUGAAGAAGGUCUUCAGAUUGUAAAGCACUUUAAGUUGGGAGGAAGGGCAGUAAGUUAAUACCUUGCUGUUUUGACGUUACCAACAGAAUAAGCACCGGCUAACUUCGUG